rnacentral:lncRNA from 1 species
UUUACUUUUUUUUAUAAGAAAUUGUUAAAGGAUGCAUUGGAGUAGAUGGUACUGUAGAAAACAAUAAAGGUCCAGAAUUGAGAAUUUCAUAGAAUGUCAGGGACCUAAUGCUAAUAUCUUCUCCAACUGUUGAUAAGGAAGGCUUUUGAUUGAAUGGGAAAAAAACAAAAGUCACCAAACCAAUGGCGAGUCGCUGGAAGAGUAUUGUAGUAUCCAUUAUUUCUCUGCUUGCUGCUCUCAUGUUUCUGCUGGCCGGAUUGCAAUCAUCCACACCUUAUUCUCCACGAAGUAUGUAACUUCCUCUGCUUCUCUUUUCUUAUCCUCUUCCUUUGUCUGUGUGUCGUCGACUCGCUUGCUCUGUUUAUGGUGUACAAGAUUGCUGUAAACCUGUUGGUGUUUCCCAUUAGGACCCUCCUCGCGUUUUCCGGCUCGGCCAAGCAAGUCAAGUCCAGGAACUCAUGGAUGAUUUUGAUCCAUAAACGAAGAGAGUUGGACACUUACAGAGUUACAGUGAAUGAAAUGGGCAGCUCUGCUUUUGUUAUGUUUGGUUCCUUUCUUAACAUUUGAUGUUGUCUUUGUACCUGAACUAGUUGUGAUUGUAAUGUUUCCUCUGCCUUUUGCUUGCAGCAUUACCAAUCCUGACAUUUGUUUUGUUAGUAGGUUUAGUUAAAUGAAUUCCUAUCAAACGUCAUAUGGUUUGUUUAAUACAGUUUUUUAUCGAAUAGGUCGUUUUAAUUUUUAGAUCA